rnacentral:rRNA from 1 species
UACGUAGGGGGCAAGCGUUGUCCGGAUUUAUUGGGCGUAAAGAGCGUGUAGGCGGCUAGGUAGGUGGGUUGUGAAAACUGGAGGCUCAACCUUCAGACGUCGACCCAAACCCCCUGGCUAGAGUCCGGAAGAGGAGAGUGGAAUUCCUGGUGUAGCGGUGAAAUGCGUAGAUAUCUGGAGGAACACCGGUGGCGAAGGCGGCAUCCUGGACCAUUACUGACACUGAAAAGCGAAAGCCAGGGGAGCAAACGGG